rnacentral:rRNA from 1 species
UACCACAUCCAAGGAAGGCAGCAGGCGCGCAAAUUACCCAAUCCCGACACGGGGAGGUAGUGACAAUAAAUAACAAUACAGGGCUCUUUUGGGUCUUGUAAUUGGAAUGAGUACAAUUUAAAUACCUUAACGAGGAACAAUUGGAGGGCAAGUCUGGUGCCAGCAGCCGCGGUAAUUCCAGCUCCAAUAGCGUAUAUUAAAGUUGCUGCAGUUAAAAAGCUCGUAGCUGAACCUUGGCCUUGGUUGACCGGUCCGCCUAACGGUGUGCACUGGCUUGACCGAGGCUUUCCUUCUGGCUAGCCUGUAUGGUAUUCACUUAUUGUGCAGGGGAACCAGGACUUUUACUUUGAAAAAAUUAGAGUGUUCAAAGCAGGCUUAUGCUCGAAUACAUUAGCAUGGAAUAAUAGAAUAGGACGUGUGGUUCUAUUUUGUUGGUUUCUAGGACCGCCGUAAUGAUAAUAGGGACAGUGG